UAAUUUCCACUCUUUCACCUAUUAGUCAUGUUAUAUCACGACAGCAUCCCUACCGCUGCAAACAUUAACUGUCUUGACAUAUAUGUAUUAUGUCGAUACAACCCUAAAUGCCUUAGCAUAAAGCGCAUCUAUUCUAUGAGCUCUGGUAUAAUUGCCUCAGAUUUUUAUCAAUCUUGAUUCUUCUUAAAUGAUGAUAUCCCACCUUUAAAAAAUAUUGCUAGGCUGAAAUUGCUUGAGUC
rnacentral:lncRNA from 1 species